AUUGAACGCUGGCGGCAUGCCUUACACAUGCAAGUCGAACGGUAGAGGGGGCAACCCCUCGAGAGUGGCGAACGGGUGAGUAAAGCAUCGGAACGUGCCCAGUAGUGGGGGAUAGCCCGGCGAAAGCCGGAUUAAUACCGCAUGAGACCUACGGGUGAAAGGGGGGGAUCGCAAGACCUCUCGCUAUUGGAGUGGCCGAUGUCAGAUUAGGUAGUUGGUGGGGUAAAGGCCUACCAAGCCGACGAUCUGUAGCUGGUCUGAGAGGACGACCAGCCACACUGGGACUGAGACACGGCCCAGACUCCUACGGGAGGCAGCAGUGGGGAAUUUUGGACAAUGGGCGAAAGCCUGAUCCAGCCAUGCCGCGUGCGGGAAGAAGGCCUUCGGGUUGUAAACCGCUUUUGUCAGGGAAGAAAUCCUUUGAGCUAAUACCUCGGGGGGAUGACGGUACCUGAAGAAUAAGCACCGGCUAACUACGUGCCAGCAGCCGCCGUAACAC
rnacentral:rRNA from 1 species